rnacentral:rRNA from 1 species
GGACUACACGGGUAUCUAAUCCUGUUUGCUCCCCUUGCUUUCGCGCCUCAGCGUCAGGUAUAAGCUAGAAAACCGCCUUCGCCACUGGUGUUCUUCCACAUAUCUACGCAUUUCACCGCUACUUGUGGAAUUCCAUUUUCUCCGCCUACCCUCUAGAAUGAUAGUUUCAAAUGCAGUUCCGGGGUUGAGCCCCGGGCUUUCACAUCUGACUUAUCAUCCCGCCUACGCGCCCUUUACGCCCAAUAAAUCCGAUUAAUGCUUGCACCCUACGUAUUACCGCGGCGGCUGGCAC